ACUUAAGUGCAAACCACAAAUCUGAGAGUUUUCUGUGUGGUCCCUUGUGUUGUGUUUUGUACUGGAUUCUUUUUUUUUUUCUUCUCUUUCCUCGUCUUCAGACCAGUCCCUGGCGGAGAGGUCCAAUUCCAUAACUGUGGUCGGAGCGGUGAUGGGCGCAGUGCUCGCUCUCUUCAUCAUUUCAGUCUUCACUUUUGUGAUCGUCACCGCCCGCAAAACCUCGCCGUCGGCCUUCACCGACAAAGUGAUUGACCUUCCUCCGACUCACAAGCCGCCCCCUCCUUACUCGGAGAGAGCACCCGCUGUUCCUCUGGGAGUCCACGCAUCGCAAGUGGCCUGGCUGUGUCAGGUGAACCCCACUCUCUUGUUGCAUCAGUUUAAAAGCAUCUGUGGGGAUCAGAGGAUCUCCGUGAUACAAACUUUUCCUCAGCAUAUUUAGACCCACUAUGAAUUGGAUGAUAUAAUUAUUAACAUGAAUUUUGCCUCUAACUGAAUUAAGCUUUCAUUGGCAUUUAAUCCCUUCAUCAAAAAAAUUAUAUAUUUUUACUUAGUGAUAAAAUCCACUAACAAAACAGUAAUAUUAUUAUUAUUUAUUUUAUUUUUAUUUUUUU
rnacentral:lncRNA from 1 species